AUUAGUUUCACCAUCCAAAUUUGCGGUCUCAAUAUAGCAGACUCCAUCAGGGUUUGUGCUGGCAAGAAAAAGAAGGUCUGCUGGAAAGAACUCAUCCUGUUUAACUCUCACAAUAUCUCCAGCUUGCAGCUUCUUCCAAGGUACACUGACCCAUUGCUGAUCUUGAAAUACGUCUAUAGAAGUAUUGUUAAUUAACAAGUCAUUCUGAAAACGCUUCCAAUCCUCCCAAGCCUCCUUAAUAAGA
rnacentral:misc_RNA from 1 species